rnacentral:RNase_P_RNA from 1 species
AGGGCAGGGUGCUGGCUAACGGCCAGUCGAGGUGACUCGCAGGACAGUGCAACAGAAAGUAAACCGCCUGUGAAAGCAGGUAAGGGUGAAACGGUGCGGUAAGAGCGCACCGCCUCGUCGGUGACGACGAGGGCACGGUAAACCCCACCCGAAGCAAGACCAGACAGGGGUCGCGUUGCCCGCGCGAUGACUCCGGGUUGGUUGCUCGAGCCCGUCGGCAACGACGGGCCUAGAGGAAUGAUCGCCAACUACAGAACUCGGCUUAUUGACCUCUCCAUCGU